AGAGUUUGAUCCUGGCUCAGGAUGAACGCUGGCGGUCUGCUUAACACAUGCAAGUCGAACGCACCUUUCGGGGUGAGUGGCGGACGGGUGAGUAACGCGUGAGAAUCUGCCUAGAGGUCGGGGACAACCAUUGGAAACGAUGGCUAAUACCGGAUAUGCCUUACGGGGUGAAAGAUUAAUCGCCUUUAGAAGAGCUCGCGUCUGAUUAGCUAGUUGGUAGGGUAAAAGCCUACCAAGGCAUCGAUCAGUAGCUGGUCUGAGAGGAUGACCAGCCACACUGGGACUGAGACACGGCCCAGACUCCUACGGGAGGCAGCAGUGGGGAAUUUUCCGCAAUGGGCGAAAGCCUGACGGAGCAAGACCGCGUGAGGGAGGAAGGCUCUUGGGUUGUAAACCUCUUUUGUCAGGGAAGAACACAAUGACGGUACCUGACGAAUCAGCAUCGGCUAACUCCGUGCCAGCAGCCGCGGUAAUACGGAGGAUGCAAGCGUUAUCCGGAAUUAUUGGGCGUAAAGCGUCCGCAGGUGGCUAAUCAAGUCUGCGGUCAAAGACCGGGGCUUAACCCUGGAAAGGCCGUGGAAACUGAUAAAGCUAGAGUACCGUAGGGGUAGAGGGAAUUCCCGGUGUAGCGGUGAAAUGCGUAGAGAUCGGGAAGAACAUCGGUGGCGAAAGCGCUCUACUGGACGGUGACUGACACUCAGGGACGAAAGCUAGGGGAGCGAAUGGGAUUAGAUACCCCCGUAGUCC
rnacentral:rRNA from 1 species